rnacentral:misc_RNA from 1 species
UCCGGUUUGACACCGGCAGUCUCCCUAGAGUGCCCGGCUUUACCCGCUGGUAACUAGGGACAAGGGUUGCGCUCGUUGCGGGACUUAACCCAACAUCUCACGACACGAGCUGACGACAGCCAUGCAGCACCUGUGCACGGACUCCGAAGAGGGGCCGAUGUUUCCACCGGCUUUCCCGUGCAUGUCAAGCCCAGGUAAGGUUCUUCGCGUUGCUUUGAAUUAAACCACAUGCUCCACCGCUUGUGCGGGCCCCCGUCAAUUUCUUUGAGUUUUAAUCUUGCGACCGUACUCCCCAGGCGGGAUACUUAACGCGUUAGCUUCGGCACUGAAGGGGUCAAUACCUCCAACACCAAGUAUCCAUCGUUUAGGGCUAGGACUAC